GAUGAACGCUGGCGGCGUGCCUAAUACAUGCAAGUCGAGCGAACGGACGAGAAGCUUGCUUUUCUGAUGUUAGCGGCGGACGGGUGAGUAACACGUGGAUAACCUACCUAUAAGACUGGGAUAACUUCGGGAAACCGGAGCUAAUACCGGAUAAUAUUUUGAACCGCAUGGUUCAAAAGUGAAAGACGGUCUUGCUGUCACUUAUAGAUGGAUCCGCGCUGCAUUAGCUAGUUGGUAAGGUAACGGCUUACCAAGGCAACGAUGCAUAGCCGACCUGAGAGGGUGAUCGGCCACGCUGGGAGUAAGACCCGGAUCGGACUCCUACGGGAGGCAGAAGUAGUGAGUCUGCCGGAAGUGGGGAAAGUCUGACGGAGCAACGACGCGUGAGGGAGGAAGGUCUCCGGAUCGUAAAACUCUGUUAUGAGGGAAAAACAUAUGUCCAGGUAACUGUGCACAGCUGCAGGGAACCUAAUCAGAAAGCCGCGGAUAACUACG
rnacentral:rRNA from 1 species